rnacentral:rRNA from 1 species
UACGUAGGGUGCGAGCGUUGUCCGGAAUUAUUGGGCGUAAAGAGCUCGUAGGCGGUCUGUCGCGUCGAUCGUGAAAACUUGGGGCUUAACCCUGAGCUUGCGGUCGAUACGGGCAUGACUGGAGUUCGGCAGGGGAGACAGGAAUUCCUGGUGUAGCGGUGAAAUGCGCAGAUAUCAGGAGGAACACCGGUGGCGAAGGCGGGUCUCUGGGCCGAUACUGACGCUGAGGAGCGAAAGCGUGGGGAGCGAACAGG